AGAGUUUGAUCAUGGCUCAGGAUGAACGCUAGCGGCAGGCUUAACACAUGCAAGCCGAGGGGCAGCACAAAGAUAGCUUGCUAUUCUGGUGGCGACCGGCGAAUGGGUGAGUAACGCGUAUGCAACCUACCCUCUACAGGAAGAUAGCUUGGAGAAAUCCAAAUUAAUAUUCCAUAAUAUCAUUUAGACACAAGUUUAAGUGAAGAAAGCUUUGGCGGUAGAGGAUGGGCAUGCGCCCUAUUAGUUAGUUGGUGGGGUAACGGCUCACCAAGACAGCGAUAGGUAGGGGGCCUGAGAGGGUGAUCCCCCACACUGGUACUGAGACACGGACCAGACUCCUACGGGAGGCAGCAGUGAGGAAUAUUGGACAAUGGAGGCAACUCUGAUCCAGCCAUGCCGCGUGCAGGAAGACGGCCCUAUGGGUUGUAAACUGCUUUUAUUUAGGAAGAAACCCUUCUACGUGUAGAAGGCUGACGGUACUAUAUGAAUAAGGACCGGCUAACUCCGUGCCAGCAGCCGCGGUAAUACGGAGGGUCCAAGCGUUAUCCGGAAUUAUUGGGUUUAAAGGGUCCGCAGGCGGAACUUUAAGUCAGGGGUGAAAUUUCUAGGCUUAACCUAGACAUUGCCUUUGAAACUAAAGUUCUUGAACUCGGUCGAAGUGGGCGGAAUAUGUCAUGUAGCGGUGAAAUGCUUAGAUAUGACGUGGAACUCCGAUAGCGAAGGCAGC
rnacentral:rRNA from 1 species